rnacentral:lncRNA from 1 species
GUGCCUGGUCACAGCUGCAGGUCCUGCCUCUGAACCAGCACUGCAACGCAUCUCAAGAGCCAGUAUCUGAAAAAGGCUGCUGCAAACCUGUCCUCUGCAGAGGUGGUGUGGCAGCGAGGGCUGCCCAGCGUGUCUUACAGCCAGUACAGCUUUGACCACCUCUACAACACAGACGACAUCAUCCAGCCUCCCCACGUCAGGAAAGCCCAACCUGAGAAACGUGUCAGCUUCAGGCUCCUACAUCCCUCAGGACCCUUGGCAGGAGACACCCCCCAGGCUGGGAAGACAGAAAGUUCUCCCCAUUUUGAAAAGAAGCGAAAGAAACCAAAGCCAGAAUGCAUGGUCCAGGAAACUUCUCACUCUCUCAUGCCUUCGCCCAGCAAGAAUCCAGAUAUGCUAGAUCUGCCACCUUCUCCAGAUGUGGAAAGGGACGUCUGGCUUCCACCUUCUGAGAAGGAAGACAGAGCCUGGGAGACCAUUGUGUUGGAAAAGCUGAACAAGCGCACAGCCUGAUGGAUCCAGAACAAGCAUCCCGCAAAGCCUGGAGUAUCACCCAACAAGUGGCAGAGCUUCUUGAGCCAGCAGUAUGACUGGAGCCAUAUCCAGGAUGAACUCACCUCGGCUACAGACCUGGAGCUCCUGAAACAGCUGGAAGCAGAAGAGACAGCAGAGUUUGAGGGUCAAACUAUCAUCCUGCUCCCCCAGGGAGAAAAGAAACCAGAGCUGCUGCUUCCUGUUUACUACAGAUGGAGUCCAGAUCAUCCACAACAUUGGAGGAAAGAGAAACCAUAUUUUUCUGGAAAACUGCAGUUGGUAUGACAAACAAUUAUGUAAGAUCUUCCCUGAAACUCCAGAAAAGUGGAGUUUCCAGCCUGUUCCUGAAGCACGUGGGUGAGGAGGAUGUGCCCAUCAAGACCAGGAAAUCCAAGAAGCUGGUGAAAUCACUGGUGGAGGAUGUGACUUGGGAACUGGUGGUUCUGAGGAGGAUGGUGCAGGAAUGGAAGACUGCCUGGGGCCUGAGUGAGUGGAGGGGAAUAGGUCUCACCUUGGACUAAUGCUACUCAAUCUCUCUCAAAUCCAUCCCUCUCUUGUAAAAUGUAAAAACUUGGUUGCCUCAUUAAGGUUAGACUAGAUAAGUUUUCACACAGUGGGUGUUAGGUGAACAUUAGUUACAUAUAUCUGAUUUUUUUUUUUUUAUUGGCAUGGGCCAGUCUUCAGUAAUUUGUAGAAAUUCGCUGCACUGAGAAAUCUUCAUAGGCAGGGACCAUGUCUUACUGAUUUCU